AUGGCUAUAUAUACACCAAACAAAGGGCUAGUUAGCACUUCUGUGUGGCUAAGCUGUGUACAACCACAUCACACAAAUGAGUAUGGCGGUGCCGGGUGCCACCGUGAGGGCUUCAAGCUUGCCUGUAACAAGACAUAUCAUCCCCCAAAGCUCUUCAUGAACAGUUCUGGCGUCGAAGUGCUUGAAAUAUCAGUGCAAGACAGCACCCUGUACAUUGACAGUGGGAUCCUCACCUUGGCGGGGGAUGAGUGGCCCGACGGUUACAUCCAUAUGAAUUGGUCAGUCCCCCUCGAUGACAGCCUAUAUAGGGUGUUAGCAGGCAGGAAUAAAAUCGUUGUUACGGGGUGUGGAAUCAUUGUGAUUCUUCAAUGGCAUUCUCCCGGCACAGAACCUGCAGGUACCACUUGUCACCCAGGAUGCAUGCCGGGUCAUCCUGUGAUAGCAACUGAUGGCACAUGUGCUGGUGUUGGUUGUUGCAGUGCAAUGAACGUGCAACCUGACUCAAAUAUGUUUUCCAUCAAGUACACUAGUACAGCGUGGAGAAAGAGAACUUGCAGGUCAACUCAAGUCUUGCUUUGGUGGAGAGCAAAUGGUGGAGCAAGAAGAAGAAUGCCAUGGUACUGCAGAAGGCGGUAUCAUCUGACACCAGCCUUGGUGCCUCCAAAGGCGUACUACACUCCAUACCAGGAGUACCGUGACAAUAGCGAGUGCCUUGUGUACCAUAAACCCGACGACUCAAGAGGAGGUUACACAUGCCAGUGUUGGCAUGGCUACGAAGGCAACCCUUACGUGCAACACGGAUGCCAAGAUAUCGACGAGUGUACAAGUCAAGGCGAGUACUCCUGCUUUGGCCAGUGCAUCAAUCUGAUAGGGUCAUAUACCUGUACCUGUCCGCAUGGCACCACUGGAUUUGCCAUUGCGGUAGGAAUCGACAGCGGUGUAGGCACUCUUCUAAUUAUCCUCAGUGUUCUGAUUCUUGUGGACAAGGAUAUCGCUGAAAGGAUGAUGUUCAGCUUAGAAGAGCUUGAGAAGGCAACAAAUAAGUUUGACGAGGCUCGAAAACUUGGAGGUGGAGGCCACGGCACUGUCUACAAAGGGAUUUUAUCUGACAAUCGUGUUGUUGCCAUCAAAAAGUCAAAAGUUGUAAUUCAGAGAGAGACAGAUGAUUUCAUCAAUGAGGUUGCUAUCCUUUCUCAAGUGAACCACAGGAACUGCCUUGCUUAUCUGCACUCAGCUGCUUCAGUAUCAAUAGUCCAUAGAGAUAUCAAGUCUGCCAACGUACUACUUGACGAUCGCCUCACAGCAAAAGUAUCAGACUUUGGAGCUUCUCGAGGCAUCCCCAUUGAUCAAACAGGAGUUACAACUGCGGUUCAAGGAACUUUUGGAUAUUUGGAUCCGGAGUACUACCACACUCGGCGACUCACCGAGAAAAGUGAUGUGUAUAGCUUUGGUGUCAUGCUUGUGGAGCUAUUAACAAGGAAGAAGCCAUGUGUCCACCUGUCAACACCAGGAGCCAGUCUAACUGCUGAAUUCAUCUUGCGAGUGAACCAAGACAAACUCUUUGAGAUGCUAGACCAGCAAGUUGAGACAAAACUUGAAGUGAUGCAAACUGUGGAAAAUAAUACACCAAUGGAACAGAACAAUGCCAAUGCUGAUGAUGACAACUUCAGUAGGCGAUAUAGUAUGGAGCAAGAAUGCAUGUCAUCUAUGAGUUUGCCUCGGUAA
rnacentral:rRNA from 1 species